UAAGCGCACAGUACCGCAUGGUACGGUGUGAAAAACUCCGGUGGUAUGAGAUGGACCCGCGUCUGAUUAGGUAGUUGGUGGGGUAACGGCCUACCAAGCCGACGAUCAGUAGCCGACCUGAGAGGGUGACCGGCCACAUUGGGACUGAGACACGGCCCAAACUCCUACGGGAGGCAGCAGUGGGGAAUAUUGCACAAUGGGGGAAACCCUGAUGCAGCGACGCCGCGUGAGCGAUGAAGUAUUUCGGUAUGUAAAGCUCUAUCAGCAGGGAAGAAAAUGACGGUACCUGACUAAGAAGCCCCGGCUAACUACGUGCCAGCAGCCGCGGUAAUACGUAGGGGGCAAGCGUUAUCCGGAUUUACUGGGCGUAAAGGGCUCGUAGGCGGUUCGUCGCGUCCGGUGUGAAAGUCCAUCGCCUAACGGUGGAUCUGCGCCGGGUACGGGCGGGCUGGAGUGCGGUAGGGGAGACUGGAAUUCCCGGUGUAACGGUGGAAUGUGUAGAUAUCGGGAAGAACACCAAUGGCGAAGGCAGGUCUCUGGGCCGUCACUGACGCUGAGGAGCGAAAGCGUGGGGAGCGAACAGGAUUAGAUACCCUGGUAGUCCACGCCGUAAACGGUGGAUGCUGGAUGUGGGGCCCUUUCCACGGGUCCCGUGUCGGAGCCAACGCGUUAAGCAUCCCGCCUGGGGAGUACGGCCGCAAGGCUAAAACUCAAAGAAAUUGACGGGGGCCCGCACAAGCGGCGGAGCAUGCGGAUUAAUUCGAUGCAACGCGAAGAACCUUACCUGGGCUUGACAUGUGCCGGAUCGCCGUGGAGACACGGUUUCCCUUCGGGGCCGGUUCACAGGUGGUGCAUGGUCGUCGUCAGCUCGUGUCGUGAGAUGUUGGGUUAAGUCCCGCAACGAGCGCAACCCUCGCCGCAUGUUGCCAGCGGGUGAUGCCGGGAACUCAUGUGGGACCGCCGGGGUCAACUCGGAGGAAGGUGGGGAUGACGUCAGAUCAUCAUGCCCCUUACGUCCAGGGCUUCACGCAUGCUACAAUGGCCGGUACAACGUGGUGCGACACGGUGACGUGGGGCGGAUCGCUGAAAACCGGUCUCAGUUCGGAUCGCAGUCUGCAACUCGACUGCGUGAAGGCGGAGUCGCUAGUAAUCGCGGAUCAGCAACGC
rnacentral:rRNA from 1 species